rnacentral:rRNA from 1 species
GUCGUAACAAGGUUUCCGUAGGUGAACCUGCGGAAGGAUCAUUAGUGAAUAAAUAGGGUGUCCAAUUUAACUUGGAACCCGACCUUCUCACAUCUAACCCUGUGCAUCUGUAUUUAAUGGCGAGCAAUUUUCGGAUUGUGAGCCAUUUCACUUUAUAAACACUAGUCUGUGAAUGUAAAAUUUUUAUAACAAAUAAAAACUUUCAACAACGGAUCUCUUGGCUCUCGCAUCGAUGAAGAACGCAGCGAAAUGCGAUACGUAAUGUGAAUUGCAGAAUUCAGUGAAUCAUCGAAUCUUUGAACGCAUCUUGCGCUCUCUGGUAUUCCGGAGAGCAUGUCUGUUUGAGUGUCAUGAAUUCUUCAACCCAACUGUUUCUUGUAAACAGCUGGUGUUUGGAUUCUGAGCGCUGCUGGCUUCGUGCCUAGCUCGUUCGUAAUACAUCAGCAUCCCUAAUACAAGUUUGGAUUGACUUGGCGUAAUAGACUAUUCGCUAAGGAUUCAAUGUUCGCAUUGAGCCAACUUAAUUAAGGAAGCUUCUAAUUGAAAAGUCUACCUUUAGAUUAGAUCUCAAAUCAGGCAGGAUUGCCCGCUGAACUUAAGC